rnacentral:siRNA from 1 species
AGGACGGGUUGACGGGACGGGUUU